rnacentral:misc_RNA from 1 species
GAUGAAGAACGUAGCGAAAUGCGAUAAGUAAUGUGAAUUGCAGAAUUCAGUGAAUCAUCGAAUCUUUGAACGCACAUUGCGCCCUCUGGUAUUCCGGGGGGCAUGCCUGUUCGAGCGUCAUUAUAACCACUCAAGCUCUCGCUUGGUAUUGGGGUUCGCGGUUUCGCGGCCCCUAAAAUCAGUGGCGGUGCCUGUCGGCUCUACGCGUAGUAAUACUCCUCGCGAUUGAGUCCGGUAGGUCUACUUGCCAGCAACCCCUAAUUUUUUUAAGGUUGACCUCGGAUCAGGUAGGGAUACCCGCUGAACUUAAGCAUAUCAAUAAGGGAGGA